UACGGGGGGGGGUAAGCGUUGUUCGGAUUCACUGGGCGUAAAGGGUGCGUAGGCGGUCGGGUAAGUCUGAUGUGAAAUCUCACAGCUUAACUGUGAAACUGCAUUGGAUACUAUCCGGCUCGAGGAAUGGAGGGGAGACUGGAAUACUUGGUGUAGCAGUGAAAUGCGUAGAUAUCAAGUGGAACACCAGUGGCGAAGGCGAGUCUCUGGACAUUUCCUGACGCUGAGGCACGAAAGCCAGGGGAGCAAACGGG
rnacentral:rRNA from 1 species